rnacentral:rRNA from 1 species
GAGCUGUCCUUAGUACGAGAGGACCGGGAUGGACAUACCUCUGGUGUACCAGUUGUCGUGCCAACGGCAUAGCUGGGUAGCUAUGUGUGGACGGGAUAAGUGCUGAAAGCAUCUAAGCAUGAAGCCCCCCUCAAGAUGAGAUUUCCCAACUUCGGUUAUAAGAUCCCUCAAAGAUGAUGAGGUUAAUAGGUUCGAGGUGGAAGCAUGGUGACAUGUGGAGCUGACGAAUACUAAUCGAUCGAAGACUUAAUCAA